rnacentral:rRNA from 1 species
UACGUAGGCAGCAAGCGUUGUUCGGAAUUACUGGGCGUAAAGGGUGCGUAGGCGGCUUUUUAAGUUUGGUGUGAAAUCUCCCGGCUCAACUGGGAGGGUGCGCCGAAUACUGAGAAGCUAGAGUGUGGGAGAGGAAAGUGGAAUUCCUGGUGUAGCGGUGAAAUGCGUAGAUAUCGGGAGGAACACCUGUGGCGAAAGCGGCUCUCUGGACCACAACUGACGCUGAGGCGCGAAAGCUAGGGGAGCAAACAGG